UACGGGGGGGGGCAAGCGUUGUUCGGAAUUACUGGGCGUAAAGGGCGCGUAGGCGGCCUUCUAAGUCGAACGUGAAAUCCCCGGGCUCAACCCGGGAACUGCGUCCGAUACUGGAAGGCUUGAAUCCGGGAGAGGGAUGUGGAAUUCCAGGUGUAGCGGUGAAAUGCGUAGAUAUCUGGAGGAACACCGGUGGCGAAGGCGACAUCCUGGACCGGUAUUGACGCUGAGGCGCGAAAGCCAGGGGAGCAAACGGG
rnacentral:rRNA from 1 species